rnacentral:rRNA from 1 species
GACGAACGCUGGCGGCGUGCCUAAUACAUGCAAGUCGAGCGAAGUUUUUCUGGUGCUUGCACUAGAAAAACUUAGCGGCGAACGGGUGAGUAACACGUAAAGAACCUGCCUCAUAGACUAGGACAACUAUUGGAAACGAUAGCUAAUACCGGAUAACAGCAUUAACUGCAUGGUUGAUGUUUAAAAGUUGGUUUUGCUAACACUAUGAGAUGGCUUUGCGGUGCAUUAGCUAGUUGGUGGGGUAAAGGCCUACCAAGGCGACGAUGCAUAGCCGACCUGAGAGGGUGAUCGGCCACACUGGGACUGAGACACGGCCCAGACUCCUACGGGAGGCAGCAGUAGGGAAUCUUCCGCAAUGGGCGAAAGCCUGACGGAGCAACGCCGCGUGAGUGAAGAAGGAUUUCGGUUCGUAAAGCUCUGUUGUUAGGGAAGAAUGAUUGUGUAGUAACUAUACACAGUAGAGACGGUACCUAACCAGAAAGCCACGGCUAACUACGUG